CAUACUCACCUAUCCGCCAGAACACUACAAGCAAAACGCUUGAAACUCAAAGGACUUGGUGGUGUCUCACAUCGUCCUAGAGGAGCCUGUCCUAUAAUCGAUACUCCACGUUAAACCUCACCAUUUUUGGCCACUCCAGCCUAUAUACCGCCGUCGCCAGCCUACCCCAUGAGGGUUUUAGUAGGCAAAACUGCUUUUACACAAAAACGUCAGGUCAAGGUGUAGCUUAUAAAAUGGAAGAGAUGGGCUACAUUUUCUAAGUUAGAAAAUACGAACAACACAGUGAAACCCUGUAUUAGAAGGAGGAUUUAGUAGUAAAAUAAAAAGAAAAACUAUUUUAAAUAAGCCCUGAGACGUACACACACCGCCCGUCACCCUCAUCAACAACAUCACUAACUAACAUAUAAUGUUUAAACCUCUCAAGAUGGGGUAAGUCGUAACAUGGUAAGCGUACUGGAAAGUGUGCUUGGACUAACAAAAAGUAGCUUAAAAUAAAGCAUUCAGCUUACAAUUGAAAAAUGUUAUUACCACAAACCUUUUUGAGCCAGAAAAAGCCUAACCUUACCUUCCACCCAACAAACCCCAUAAAACAAAUCAUUUGACUAGAACAGUAUCUGAGAAAGAAC
rnacentral:rRNA from 1 species